rnacentral:lncRNA from 1 species
CAAGCCCACCUAGCACUGGAACUCGUACCCCGCCACCCUAUGGGCCAAGCCCACCAAAACUCGCUCCUGGCUCGCCAGUCUAUCAACCUCCAAUGGCUCACCCAACACCGGCUGGACCGCCACCGCCACCGCAUCAAAAUCCUCGGUUUCCGGUCUGGUGUGUUGCCAAGCCCACAGUGCCUGACUCGAUAAUUCAAGAGGCCAUGGAUUAUGCAUGCGGAACAGGAGCGGAUUGCAAGCCUAUUCAGACCAAUGGGUCGUGCUUUCAGCCCAAUACUUUGGUUGCACAUGCUUCUUAUGCUUUCAAUAGCUACUGGCAGAAGACAAAGAAUCGUGGAGGAACUUGUGAUUUUGGUGGGAUUGCCAUGCUUGUCACAACUGAUCCAAGUAAGUCCGGUCAAUAAUAUUUUUACACAAAAGAGAGUAUAAACGUUUCCACUUACACAUUUUAAAAUAUAGAUUUGAGAUGGGUCAACAUCAUACUAAUAUGAAUUUUAACUCAACUUUGACUUAUGUAAUAAAAUAAUAUUGUUUAGUCUCACAUCUGAAUUUUAAAAAGUGAGAACAUUUAGCGACAAAAAUAUAAGAAUUGCUUUUUUUUAGAGUUUGUAUAAGUGCAUAACCUUAUUGAAAUAGAAAAAGAAAUACAAAAUAAAAAGACAGUUAAAUUGAUUAAGAGGAUUGGUACCUGUCUAAAUUCUAAUAAUCUUCAUAUAAACUUUUACAAAUAAGAACCGGAGGCUUAUCCCACCAGGUAUAGAAGAAAAAAAAAAUUCAAUAUUAAUUGAGUAAUGGCUACUUGAACUUCUAAAUUUAACAAUAAAAACUAUAUAUAUAAAAAAAAAGAUAUCAAGAUGUUGGUAAUAGGGAAUAUACAUGAUCUAGACAGAAGAUAUGAAGCAUGUUAUGUAGCAUGGGGAUGGUAAUUUGUGGGCUUGGGCUGGGCUUUUCGAAGCCCAGGCUCACAUCAUUCAAACAAAGUCCACACUCUUUAAAAACCUGUCUAAAUUUGGACUGGUUGGGUUCGGGCUUUUUUUUUUUAAAAUUAAUUAUAAAAUAUUUUUUUAUUAAAAAAAUAUAUUUUAAUUAAAGAUAAUCAUCUAAUAUAUAAUAGAAUAAUAAUCCAAUACAUAAAUAUAUUAGUAAUACAACAUAAUAAAAUAAUAAAUACUAAUACAAAAAAUUAAAAUAAUUUAAUAUUUUAAGUUUUUUUAAUUUACAUUAAAUUUAUUUUUUAUUAAUACAAGUCUGAGUUUUUUUGCUAAGCCUUUAUACAGGCCCACUCCUUACCGGCGGGGCCUUAGUCCCGCGGGCCUUGGCUGGCCGCAGCCCGGGCCUUUUGCCACUCCUAACGUAGCAGGACCUAAAGUCCUAAUAAAUACAUUAACCAAAUAAAUUUUGCAAAUCUGAACCAUGCUUACAUUGUCUUCGAUCUUCAUGUUAAACUAUUAAUGUGAAAGUAUAUUUUGCUGCAAAAUCUACUCUGACAUUAUUAAUUAAGCUUAAAAUCAUAAUUAGCGCCUGGAAAAUUACAAAAAACCCCAUCAAUUUUAUUGCCAGCUAAUUACAGAGCCCAUUUGUCAAGACAUUGACAUCUUAACUAGCUAAUAAAUAAAAAUAUCCGUAUCUUAAAUAAUCAAAGUUCAUGGUGUUUCAUCUUGAAUUUAAGUUAUUUAACAGUCAAAAUUUUGUGCAUAUAUGCUUGUCGUUACCUUAGAUUAAUUAUAAUAUCUCAUUUUCCCCUGUUAAUCAAAUUCAUGACUCGUGGAUGGAAACCGAGAGCCCUGGUGCAUGAACUAUUUUGUAAAUCACGUGGACCCCUUUGUGCAUGAAACCACAAGCAAUUAAUUUGUCUUCUUCUUAUUUAUUUUUAUUUUUCGUUUUAUUUUACAGUGAUAUUAUUUGUUAAAAUGCUACAGAAAAAGGAAUAAAAUUACCUUGAUUGAUGGCAGCGAAGACGGCAAGGCCGUGAGUUAAUGAGUUUAGAUCUAGAGUUUUGUUUCUUUUUUUUUACUAUUUGAGUAUUUUUUUUUAUUUGAUUAAAUUAAAAUAUAUUUUGAUUUAAAAAAAAUAUCUCGAGUUUGGUUUUGGGUUCGGGACCUGAUAAAAUUUGUGUAUCUAAAUCCAAAAUAUAUUUGGGACUUGGGCUAAUUCUCGAAAUAUACUCAUUUGUAAUUUUGAAAUCUUUUGAAGAUCAAUACCUGACCUAAAUUAAUCGGAGGCCCAUGAGUAUGAUCCCAUGGAGAAUGUUGUCAUCCCUAGACAAAACGUUUUCAUUUCCAACAACAAUGAAAAAGAAAAUGUCGGUCUGUAGGACACAUAUAGAACAUCUAGACAGAAUCAUAUGCAUUUCGCGGAAAACAAAACUUAGCUUGAUUUUAUCUUUUGGUAUUUUGUAUUCAUUGGUCUAUCCAUACAAAUAAAUUUGUCAGGCAUUUUGACCGUUCAUAUGAAUACAAAUUCUCUAUAUAUGGGUAUAUUAAUGAACACAAAGAUUAUAUUGUGCUUAAAUUUCAUAAUAUUGUUAUGUAGUAUGUAUUAAUUUCCAAACCCUUAUCUGUCCAUUUUUUCAGGUUUCAGUGAUUGCAAUUUCAUCUCCAACUGAUACAGAGAGGAGACAUACAAGUAACCCAGCCAUUGUAAUUAAGCAACUUAUUUAGUUAUUUUGCCCUUCUUCUCUUUUUUUUUAAAAAAAAAUUCAAACCGAGAAUUAAAAAUAUUCAGUAUAGCAUUCAUUAUGUAUGUUGAAUACAAUACAGUAUUGUAUUUUCCGAUCAUAUUAAGAAAAUAGAUGUCAAGUUGUUUGAACAGUCACUCGCGGUUUAGAUGGAUUCACGAACAUAAAAUUAGAAGAAAGUAGCAAAGCCUUUCAUGUCAUUUCUACAUUUAGAGAAAUAUUGUAAAGCUAUGACUAAUUCUGAAAAUUAUUGUCUUUUGAUUUUAUGGUAGCAUAAAUUUUUAGGCGAUCAAAUAAUUUCUCUAACAAUUACUGUGAAACUUCAUGAUGAAAAAGACAUACAAAUCAAAAUUUUAACAUAUUUUUAAUAAGUGAUACGGCCAACGGAGUAAUAAAUUUAUUGGCAACACUGAACUCAGCAGUUCACCUCCCAAUUUAAUUGAGUAGCGUAAAAAUCUUCUCCAUCAAUAUGGGUAGAAUAGAUUAGAUAUUCUUUUGAUAUCAAGUGAGAGUAGAAAUUUGAAUUAUGCUAUAAUAAAUUGACAUGUGAUGCCAAAUCUUUUAGAGUGAUGAUACAAUUAUAAACUCUUGCAUAAAUUUAUCUUGUACAAAUUGAUGUGAAAUUAAUUCAUUAGUUGAAUAAAAAUAUAAAAUAAUAAAAAUAAAUCAUGUGGACUUAGAGAUAUUUAAUUCAAUUAAUUUUAUCAUGCCGCCACAUCAAUUUAUGUACAAAAUAAAUUUAUACCCAAAUUUAUAACUAUAUCAUUACUCAAUCUUUUAACAUGCCCCGUCAAAAUCCAGCAAAUGAUAAUAAAAUAAAAUAAAAAAUAAAUAAAUAAAAGAAGGCUAGGGCAGUGGCAAUGUACUUUUAUUGCUAGUGGGGUUAAAGCCUGUCUGAGCGAAGUAUGCGUAGUCUAUUUCUAUCUUCAAUGGGGUCCAAUUUGAAAAGAAGAGAAACGAAGAAAACAUAACAUCUUUUGAAGUUUUGUUCAAUCGGUAUCCAAAGCACAGGGAAAAAACAAGAUGGGUCCAAUGUCAAUACAUUCUCGCAUAAUUUUCCAUUAAUAAUUGCACGGCCUAUUUCCAUAUACAUUUCAUGCAAAAUUAAGAGUACAUGGGCCCUCGCCCCUUGAAAUUUCAAUGCAUUAUGUUGCAACUUGCAAGUUACCAAACUAUGCCAAAAUUAUUUUGUACAUUUGUGACCGACACCAGCUGGAAAGGAUAAUAGAUGGAUUAAUUUUAAUUUGCUUUUGCUAGGCUGCUACGCGAGCACGAAAUAAAAAUUAUUGAGUCCAGAAAGAAAGAUCUCAAUGUCUUUUUGUCAGCUUAUAGUUUUUAAAUGCAAAGACCUGUUAAAAAAAAAAUGCUAAGAAAAGAAGAUGUGGGUUAAUUAAUGAGUCACAUGCAAUUUGAAAUUUGAGCCAUAUCCUCUCUCAAUCACGGGCUCAACAGGGCACAAAAUGUUAAAAAUGGCCUCAAAUCAAUCAAGUACCUAUUUUCUGGAUCGAGUUAAUUGAAUCCCUUGUUGGGUCACUGUAGAAAAGAGUAUCCUCGAAAAUCCCUGUUGACACUUGACAGUGAACCCACAUGCCUACUACAGUCGGCUUUUGUCAAUAUGUUUACAAAGGUUUGGUAAAGUACAUGAAAGUAAAAAGAUAAUGCUUUUGUAAAAAGAAAAUUUUCUAAAAUUUUCUGAUGUAAGUAGGUUUUUAUUAAUUGACGUUCAUGAAUACAAGUUUUAUGAUCUGGCUAUGGAGAUUAGGUGUUUUGCAUCUCAGAUUGUGAAAGUGAAACAACUUAAAUCAAUAUAUCAUUUGUUUAACUAUCACAGCCAGCUAGCUAGCAUAAUUUUCUCAAUUGGUAAAAGAGGAAUUGUUUAAUAUCAAUAUGUCUAUUACUGAUUUGAGUUUGUCCCCCCCGAGCACUAUUGUCAAAUCGAGACAAAUUACGAAAAAUAAAAAAAAGAUAAUGCUUGAUCCAUUAGUUUCUGUUUUCCCUUUGUCUUUAUAAGAAGGCAUGCAUAUUCAUUCACUCCAUGCGUGAUUCAAUACUCUCUCUACUUCGGAGAGUUGUGGGAGUUUAAUUUUCACGAUGGGUAGAAAACAUCCUUUAGCUAAUUUCUUGAUUCUCCUCUUGAACUUGGGUACGUUGCUAUCUUCUUUAGCAUGUCCAUAUUGCCCUUAUCCUACUCCUCCCCCUCCGUGUCCCCCAACAUUUCCACCAAAACACCCUCCACAUGUAAAGCCACCUUUCCACCCCAAACCACCGCAUCACAAGCCACCCCAUGUCAAACCACCGCACAAGCCCCCGUAUGUUCCUAAACCACCUUAUUCCCCAAGCCCUAAACCGCCUUACGUGCCAAAACCACCUCAUACUCCAGUCCCUAGGCCACCAUAUUUCCCCAAACCACCUUACACACCAAGGCCUAAGCCACCAUAUGCGCCAAAACCACCUUAUACGCCAACCCCUAAGCCACCAUAUUUCCCCAAACCACCUUACACACCAAGGCCGAAGCCACCAUAUGUGCCAAAACCACCUUAUACGCCAGCCCCUAAGCCACCAUAUUUUCCCAAACCACCUUACACACCAAGGCCUAAGCCACCAUAUGCACCAAAACCACCUUAUACGCCAACACCUAAGCCACCAUAUUUCCCCAAACCACCUUACACACCAAGGCCUAAGCCACCGUACGUGCCAAAACCACCGUACACACCAAGGCCUAAGCCACCGUACGUGCCAAAACCACCAUACACACCAACCCCUAAGCCACCGUACGUGCCAAAACCACCUUACACCCCAACCCCUAAGCCACCGUACGUGCCAAAACCACCGUAUACCCCAACUCCUAAGCCACCGUACGUCCCAUCGCCACCUUAUACCCCUCGCCCUAAACCACCGUAUGUACCAUCACCACCUUAUACCCCUAGCCCUAAACCACCGUAUGUGCCAUCACCACCAUAUACCCCAAGCCCUACCCCACCAUAUGUACCAUCACCACCGUAUACCCCAAGCCCACCAUAUGUACCAUCACCACCGUAUACCCCAAGCCCUAGCCCACCACCACCACCAAGUGGAACACCGUGUCCUCCGCCGCCGCCACCAAAGGUGAGACCGUACCCUCCACCACCAUCACAAACUUGUCCCAUUGAUACUCUCAAGCUUGGUGCAUGCGUCGACGUGUUGGGCGGUCUAAUACACAUCGGUAUAGGCAGCAGUGCAAAGGACGCUUGCUGCCCCGUGCUGCAGGGGCUACUGGACUUGGAUG